rnacentral:misc_RNA from 1 species
GCCCAGGCACACGCGGACAUACGCACGUGCAACUUGAUCGUGUGCAACCAUGUGGCAGACUGUCGUGCAGCGAUAUCGACUCCAGCCCACGUCCCUCGCAACCUUCCUAGAGUCAAACUGCAUGGUAGCUAAGCCGCCCACGGCGGCGCUGCAUAGCGGCUCGAACCUUGUCGUCGCUGAAACCAACAGCCUCAGCAUCUUCGAAAAUCUAGCGGCGGAAGAGUCGCUCAUUCGCGGUCUUUCGCUCGACACGAAGCAGCGUCUACUCCUCUUCUACGUCAACCGCCCUUGCGUCGUGGUAGGACGCAACCAGAACAUCUUUCAGGAGGUGUCGCUGCGACGGGCGGCGGCCGACGGCGUUUGCCUGGCGCGCCGCGCCUCUGGCGGCGGCGCCGUUUUCCACGACGAGGGCAACCUCUGCUUCUCUUUUCUUACCCACCGCACUUGCUAUGCUCCAGAGAAGACGAUCCAGCUGGUGCGCCUCGGGCUCUGUGCAAGCUACGCAAUCGACCCGGCACGAUUGACCACGACAGGGCGGCACGACCUGUUCCUUGACGGCAGGAAGAUCACGGGGUCUGCCAUGCGGGUGCAGCGUGACAUUGCGUACCACCACUGCACACUGCUCGUGGACACCACACACGCAUCGGUCAGUCGCUACCUUCGCCCAGAAGGGGACUACGUGGCAUUCGAGACGUCGUCGGUGGGCUCGGUGCGAAGCCCUGUCACCUCACUCGCCGAGUCGGGCUGCAUCGCUGGUGGGCCGGGCGCCGUGGCGGCACUCAAGAGAAACAUGGCAGACUUUUUCCUAGCGGAGGGCGACCGCGUGCUGGAUGCAGCGACGCCGUGGGAGCUUGACGCGGUGAAGCUGCGGCAGAGCUUCGCCACCUCGCGACACCGCUGCGAGAACGCGCCUCUCUUUGCCCUGGACGUUGUGGGAGCUGUUGCGGCCGAUAUGCCCUUCUUCGAGGGAGAGGGCAGGCGGCCGACCCGCGGUGACGCCGCCACCCUUGGCGAGGCGGUUCGCAAGACAGCGUCGAAGGACUGGGCCUACGCGAUGCCGUCGUUUACAUCCACGGUGCUCCUCAGCGGCAGCGAACUGCGGCGGCGCCUGAAAACGCUUUCUGUGUGGCAGGACGUCGCAUCGCUAUGCUCCCUUGCGGAGGAGGAGUUGCUGGCGGUGCUGCAGCGGUGCGUCCUUGAGGGCUCGGAAGGCCUCGAGGAGGUGGCGGCGGGAACCGAAGCCGGAUUGCACUUGAUCACCACAGUCGAGCAUCGUCUCGUCACGUCCGUUGUCGUGAGACGCGCGGCGUCCACGACAGCCACAGCUAGCGCUGUGGCGCCAUCGAGUGGGAGCUCUGGAGGGUGGGUACAGAGGUGCCUUUCCGCUUUACUGGUCGGCCAACCUUGUGAUGCCGCCGUCGAGGGCCUGGAGCGUACUGGCGACACCACGGCGGUGAUGCAGAGCCUGGUGCACGAGGCAGGGUCACUCUGCCUCGAUCUGCCCGACUUAGCCGGCGACGCGGCGCUGCUGAUGGUGACCCGAGUGCUGCUGGAUGUGUGGCGAGACAAGAAUGUGUUCGACAUCGCGACCUAAUCCAUCGACCCUUCGCGUCGCCGGGGGGUGCGCGAGGGAGUGUACGGGAGCUGUGGCUCACAGAU